AAUAAGGCUUGGGGUAGCGAGUGCGGAGCGGCAAAGGCGGAAGCGGCGACGACGGAGCGGCGAAGGCAGAGGCGGUCGCGGCAAAGGCAGAGCGGCGCUGCGGACGGCCGCAGAGGAAGAAGAUGAAUAGUGAGUUCUCUUUUUUUAGCUCAGAUCCAAUAUGAUUCGGGUUAUUGGGCACGACCCGCUCCGAUAACCCAUUACGGGUCCGUCACGUGCGUCACAUGC
rnacentral:lncRNA from 1 species